rnacentral:rRNA from 1 species
UACGUAGGGUGCGAGCGUUGUCCGGAAUUAUUGGGCGUAAAGAGCUCGUAGGCGGUUUGUCGCGUCUGCUGUGAAAACCCGAGGCUCAACCUCGGGCCUGCAGUGGGUACGGGCAAACUAGAGUGCGGUAGGGGAGAAUGGAAUUCCUGGUGUAGCGGUGGAAUGCGCAGAUAUCAGGAGGAACACCGGUGGCGAAGGCGGGUCUCUGGGCCGAUACUGACGCUGAGGAGCGAAAGCGUGGGGAGCAAACAGG